GCAAAAAGAGCCUUAGAGCUGCAACCUGUGAUCCCUUGUUGGGUCUGGGACUGGAAAUAGAAAACCACGCCCUUCUGGAAAUCAAAAGAGCCUCACCGUGAGAAGACCAGCAGGCCGGCAAGAGAGGCUUGCGGGCUGAUCCAAAAGUACAAUCCCUACGUGAACCCCCAGUUCCCACUGCCAAAAAAGACGUCCGAUGAUGUCACCAGGGAAUUCCUCUAGGACUUCAAAGUGCCCUCUCCCUAAGUCUAAAGUUCGGCUUCCGGAUGGACGAAACUGAAAACCUCAGGAUGCGGAAACGUGGAGCUGAGAUCCGCACCACACGGAUGAACCUGGAGGGCGUCCCGCUCAAUGAAACAAGCCAGACAGAGAACGACAAAUACUGCGUGGUCUCACUUUAUAUGUGAAAUCUGAAAACCAAAGAAAGACAUGGACUGCGGUCUCUGGUGUCUGAAAAGCGUUAUCGCUAGCUGGCUGAGCUCCAGUCCCACUUCCUGGGCGAUUGCUCCCAUCCUCGCCACCCUGUGUGGACUGGGGCUCCUCCUGCUGUUCCUUCCCUACCUCCAGAGGAAUCCGUGUUUACGACCACCUUGGAAGAGACGUAGAAACAUCAGGAAGCGUCCAGUGGAGCCGAGGGGGAGGAGCGGCAGGACCAGGAAGAAAAGCGGA